GCCCGACUGGCGCAAUUGGCUAGCGCAUACGACUUCUAUGAGAACUUUUCAAAAAACCUAAUCACAUGGGAUAGGGAAGGGGAGUGGAUCGAGACAUCGUGAGGUUGUGGGUUCGAGUCCCACGUGGGGCU